UACGUAGGGUGCGAGCGUUGUCCGGAAUUAUUGGGCGUAAAGAGCUCGUAGGCGGUUUGUCGCGUCUGCUGUGAAAACCCGGGGCUCAACUCCGGGCUUGCAUUCGAUACGGGCAGGCUAGAGUUCGGUAGGGGAGUCUGGAAUUCCUGGUGUAGCGGUGAAAUGCGCAGAUAUCAGGAGGAACACCGGUGGCGAAGGCGGGACUCUGGGCCGAUACUGACGCUGAGGAGCGAAAGCGUGGGGAGCAAACAGG
rnacentral:rRNA from 1 species